GAUGAACGCUAGCUACAGGCUUAACACAUGCAAGUCGAGGGGAAACGAUAUUGGAAGCUUGCUUCCGAUAGGCGUCGACCGGCGCACGGGUGAGUAACGCGUAUCCAACCUGCCCAUCACUCGGGGAUAACCUUGCGAAAGUAAGACUAAUACCAACUGACGUCUCUAGAAGACAGCUGAAAGAGAUUAAAGAUUUAUCGGUGAUGGAGGGGGAUGCGUCUGAUUAGCUUGUUGGCGGGGUAACGGCCCACCAAGGCGACGAUCAGUAGGGGUUCUGAGAGGAAGGUCCCCCACAUUGGAUCUGAGACACGGUCCAAACUCCUACGGGAGGCAGCAGUGAGGAAUAUUGGUCAAUGGACGAGAGUCUGAACCAGCCAAGUAGCGUGCAGGAUGACGGCCCUAUGGGUUGUAAACUGCUUUUAUAAGGGAAUAAAGUGAGAGUCGUGACUCUUUUUGCAUGUACCUUAUGAAUAAGGACCGGCUAAUUCCGUGCCAGCAGCCGCGGUAA
rnacentral:rRNA from 1 species